rnacentral:rRNA from 1 species
GACGAACGCUGGCGGCGUGCUUAACACAUGCAAGUCGAACGGAAGGGCCCUGCUUUUGUUGGGUGCUCGUUUGGCGCACGGGUGAGUAACACGUGAGUAUCCUGCCCUUGUCUUUGGGAUAACUUCAGGAGACUGGGGCUCAUACAGGAUAGGAUCUCCUGCUGCAUAGUGGGGGUUGGAAAGAUUCGGCGGUUGGGGAUGGACUAGCUGCUUAUCCGCUUGUUGGUGGGGUAGUGGCUUACCAAGGCUUUGACGGGUAGGCGGCAUGAGAGGGUGACCGGCGACAUUGCGACUGCGAUACGGCCCAGACGCCUACGGGAGGCAGUAGUGGGGAAUAUGGCAGAAUGGGGGGAAGUCUGAGGUAGCAAUGCCGCGUGCGGGAUGACGUCCUUCGGGGUGUAAACCGCUUUCGCCUGUGACGAAGCGUGAGUGACGGUAACGGGUAAAGAAGCACCGGCUAACUACGUG